AACUUAUACAUCAGCCUAUAUAAAAUACAUUUCAAAAUGAUCUGUGCUCUUUAAAUUACCAAAAGCAAAAUGUUAAUUUUUUUUUUCCCUCUAACAGAUAACAGUCUUCACUCCUAUGCUGAUUUUUCUGGUGCCACUGAAGUUAUUUUGGAAGCAGAAUUAAGCAGAGGAGAUGGUGAUGUCGCUUGGCAACACACCCAGCUGUUUAGACAAAGCUUAAAUGACCAUGAAGAAAAUUGUUUGGAGAUAAUUAUAAAAUUCAGUGACCUUUGAGAACCUGAACAUUAUAGAAAAGCUGGCAAUAAUCAAGGACUUACUGAAGUAGUCUGUUGGUUCAGUGCAUGCU
rnacentral:lncRNA from 1 species